rnacentral:lncRNA from 10 species
ACUAAUAGCAUUCUUCAAGUGGGAGAGAGCUAAUAAAGAUAGCUGUAACCGACCUGUAUGGUGACUGGAAUAAUAUUCAACAGGGUAACCAGCCUGAAGGUAUCAGCUCACGCGGAACAUGUCACAUCUUGAAAGAGGAGUUUUCAUUAACUACUUUGCUUCUGCCAAAUGGAAUCAGUGCAUUAUGUGGCCCCCUGCCAGACGUCAGAGAGGGAUGUUCCUUCUGUCUGCAGCACCCGCCUGGCUCCCACAUUCAAGCUGGAGUCUCCUGUUUUUCCAAGAUCAAUACAUGUUGCACCUUACAUGGAGGAAGGUCUCUUGACCACUGGAACAGAGGAAGUUUCCAUAGCCUCAGUAGAAUAGAAUCUAGGUUUUCUGACAAGAAGUGUUGUGCUCUUUCCACUGUGUAGUGCUUAAUCUUUAAAACCCCAAAUUUGCUCCACACACACACACACACACACACACACACACACUUACUUAGCCACCAUCUCUGCUUCCCUCCCUUACCUCACUGACAUAUGUGGUCAGUCAGGAUGUUCUAUCUACUUUAACUCUUAAGUACUUCUAAAUAUCUUUACUUGAAAAAAAGUCUUCACUAUCUAGGCCACCAUCAUUAUUCUCCUGGCUAUUAUAAAGUACCUUAAGUGGAUUCUCUGCUCACAGAAGACAUAGAAAGUUGUCUAAUGUAAAAAUUGAUCAGUUCCUUUCUUAAAACUUUUUGAUGGCUCUUAAGACUUUUGUCUCAAUGCUCAAUCUAGUAUAAAGUUUCCUCCACUGCUUUCUGGCCCACACCCUGGGCCCAUUCUCCAAUACAGCGAGCCACUUUCUGAUUUCUUUGAAAGAGCCUGUUCUCCUUUUUUUCACCUGAAGAUCUUUGCACAUGACACUGCCCUUAUUUGGAAUGUUACACACCCUCCCAUCAUCACUACCUUCAAUUUAAUAAUGUCUACUCAUUCUUUUGCUCUCAGCUUAGAGGUCUCUCAUUCUGUUAAAUGUUCCCUCAUUUCUCAAUCUGGUUUCGGUGCCUCUGCUAUUUGCCUCCAUAGCCUCUUAUACUGUUUUAUCCCUGCUCACCGUGCUGUCUGUUUUAUCAGCCUCUUUGUGUUCACACAACACACACACACACACACACACACACACACACACACACACACACACACCCCUCACUGUAAGGAUUUCCUGAGUUUACUGCAGACCUGGAAGUUGUAGAGAAGGAAUAUGUGGCACAACAGGAAGCUUUUCC